rnacentral:rRNA from 1 species
UUACAACCAUUACGCCAGCAUCCUAGCCGAAGCGCGGACCUCAGUCCCGGCUGGCCGUAUUACACCCUGGGCUAUAACACCUCCACCGAAGUGGAGGCCACAUUCCCAGAGCCUUUAUCCGGCCGCCGAAACUGAUGCUGGCCUGUCCAAACUGAGUAAACCGGUCAGAAGACCGGCCGAACAGUUUAAACAAGUCUGAUUGCAAGCGCUUCCCUUUCAACAAUUUCACGUGCUUUUUAACUCUCUUUCCAAAGUGCUUUUCAUCUUUCGAUCACUCUACUUGUGCGCUAUCGGUCUCUCGCCAAUAUUUAGCUUUAGAAGAAAUUUACCUCCCAUUUAGAGCUGCAUUCCCAAACAACUCGACUCGUCGAAGGAGAUUUACAUAGGGUGCCAUUUCCUGUCACAUACGGGAUUCUCACCCUCUAUGACGUCCUGUUCCAAGGAACUUAGACAGGCGGCUUCCCCAAAUCAUCCUCUACAAAUUACAAUGCGAACCCGAAGGCUAGCUUUCAAAUUUGAGCUGUUGCCGCUUCACUCGCCGUUACUAGGGCAAUCCC